GCCUACAAGACAGCGGGGGAUAAGCUCCAUGGUCCAAAGGCAUGCAGCCCAGAACUUCAACCUGGGCCCCUAAGCGUGCGCUAAGUGGGAAAGAAUGUGGAGUCGCAGAGACAACCAGGAGGUUGGCUUAGAAGCAGCCACCCUUGAAAGAGUGCGUAAUAGCUCACUGGUCUAGUGAUUCCGCGCCGACAAUGUAGCGGGGCUCAAGCGUACCGCCGAAGUCGUGUCAUUGCAGUAUGUACCCCCAACGGGGACUGUGAUGGGUAGGGGAGCGUCGUGUGCCGGGUGAAGCAGCCGCGGAAGCGAGUUGUGGACGGUUCACGAGUGAGAAUGCAGGCAUGAGUAGCGAUUCACACGUGAGAAACGUGUGCGCCGAUUGACUAAGGGUUCCUGGGUCAAGCUGAUCUGCCCAGGGUAAGUCGGGACCUAAGGCGAGGCCGACAGGCGUAGUCGAUGGAUAACCGGUUGAUAUUCCGGUACCCGCUGUGAAGCGUCAAAUAUCGAAUCUUCUGAUGCUAAGGCCGUGAAGCCGCCCUGAUCUCUUCGGAGUUGAGGGGAGUGGUGGAGCCGCCGGCCCAAGGGGGUAGUAGGUAAGAGAUGGGGUGACGCAGGAAGGUAGUCCAGCCCGGGCGGUGGUUGUCCCGGGGAAAGGGUGUAGGACGUUCGGUAGGUAAAUCCGCCGG
rnacentral:rRNA from 1 species